UGAUACAGUACUUGUAUGUGACACAGUACUGUAUACGAAACAGCAGCCACAUGUACAUACAAUAGGAAUAUAGCUAGCUGAGCUUUAUGGUCAUCAUUGAUCAAUAAUUGUGUGACAUGCAUACGUGAUUGCGUGGACCUGGCGGGUGGCAAGCUUUGUCGUGACAACCUAUGUGUACAUGCGCCGACAAGGCAACACAUCUCAGUGCUAAUGUAAGCCCCUGUCAAAACCAUUAGCCAACGUUAACAUAAUUUUCUCACUAACAAAAGUUGGCCUGCUUAACUGGAAACAGUACACGUCGACAAGGGACCGUGAACUUGACAUGGUAUGCUGAGGUGGGGAGUCUGGGGACCUAUGCACUAUGGCAGAGUCACUUGCCAUCCAGGACCAUUCAACAGAAGCAGAACUAUGCACCAAGUAGUAAUAUGAAUACAUUUGGCCUAGUAGCCAGCGGAUUGCUUACAGUUGCAGACAGGCUAGGGUCGGACAGUCUUCCUGUGUAAAUUAAGACACAGCGCCGGCUCCGAAAAUGUACCUCAAAUCCAGCGAUGAGAAAUGUGUUGUCCAGCGAUGUCCGAAUUGUCCCAUUAUCCCAACGGUUACACUGAGAUGAUUGAACGACUGCUAUAAUAACAGCGGAGCCGGCGCGAGAUAUGGCUCGCAAAACGUAACCCAAACCAGGGAUGAUAAAUACAUUGAACUUCCGAAUUGUCCCAUUAUCCCAACUGUUACACAGAGAAGAUCAAAUAGCAGUUGUUCAAUCGUCUCAGUGUAACAGUUGGGAUAAUGGAACAAUUCAGAGUACAACACAUUCCUCCUCCCUGGAUUGAGGUACGUUUUGCGAGAUAUAUCUCGCACCGGCUCUGAUGUGUCUUACUCUACACAGAAAGCCUGUCUGACCCUAGUGCAGCUGUAAGCAAGCGGGUUGGAUCUGCUGGAUAGCCUAGUAGUAUCUAUGUGUUCUAUCCUCUACUAAUCAAUGAUCUGCUGUUUUGAUCAGUGGAGGCUGCUGAGGGAAGGACGGCUCGUAACAUGUGCCUGAAAUAGAGUAUAAUGGCUGAAAUGGAGUGAAAGGAAUCAAACACAUGAAAACCAUUCCAUUCCAGCCAUUAUUAUGAGUCGUCCUCCCCUCAGCAGCCUCCAAUGGUUUUCAUAUAGCCUAGUCUGUUUUGAUAUCUGUUGCCUUGAUAGCCCAUCUUUGCAGGUUAGUUCAAUAAAUGGAUGCUAAUCAGGUGCAGUAAGAAAAAUAAAAUAAAACAAUAAGAAUUUGUUCUUAACUGACUUGCCUAGUUAAAUAAAGGUAAAAUUAAAAUUAAAGCUGCAUGUUGGUUAAGGGCUUGUAUAACUAAGCAUUUCACUGUCUACACCUGUUGUAUUCGGCGCAUGUGACAAAUAAAAUUAGAUUUGAUUGUAUUUUGAUAUGCUAUAAUCUUCUAGUGAAAUAAAAGACAUUGAGUCCUCUGAGACAGAAGGAGCCAACCAGAGAUUGAAAGUCGACCACUUGCUUUUCACCAUUGAAAGACACCAAAAAUGUUACUACUGGUGUGAUUAUUAGAUAUUUCCGUACAGUGCCUUUAAACACAGACUCGCACUAAGAGCCUUAGACUAUGACUAAGAGCAGCUGAACUGUGUUUGACUGUUUCAUUUGUUCUGAUACUUUGAUACAUUUCCCAGUGCCACUAGGCCUAUCAUUUCUUUAUGUGGAUAUUGCUAAUGAAAUGUACUCCACAACCUCUAUUGUUGGUGUUGAAUUAUUUUGUCAUCCAUGCAUCAUUGCUGUAAUAUUUUAAAUAACUUGACAUUUUACCUUCAAAUGAUAUUAAAAUGUACCUUUGUCGUGCCUUACAGUUUGCGACGAGUGCAAAGACAAUUUUAUUGAUGAAUGCCCCACACAUGGCCCUCCAGUAUUUGUGCCUGACACCCCUGUGCCAGUGGGUUGUCCUAAACCGUGCCGCCCUUACUAUCCCUAGUGGCAUUGAGGUCAUUCAGGAAGGCAGUGAGGUGGACGUGUACUGCGUAGACAAAGACAUUCCCAGGUGGGGCACUCUUCGGUCCUUACCAGGGUGAAGUGAUGUCACAGGACAAGUCCUCUGGUUUCUUCCCCUGGAUGUUGGUGGACAAAAACAACUCAUACAAAUCCAUUGAUGGUAGCGACGAAACCAAAGCCAACUGGAUGAGGUAUGUCCGAAACUCUUCAGAGGACAUUGAGCGAAACCUGACAGCCUUCCAGCAUGGUGAGCACAUCUACUUCCGG